AUGCUUAACACAUGCAAGUCGAACGGAAACGAUGGAAGCUUGCUUCCAGGCGUCGAGUGGCGGACGGGUGAGUAAUGCUUGGGAAUCUGCCUAAUAGUGGGGGAAAACUCGGGGAAACUCGGGCUAAUACCGCAUAAUCUCUUCGGAGGAAAGGGGGCCUCUACAUGUAAGCUCUCGCUAAUAGAUGAGCCCAAGUCAGAUUAGCUUGUUGGUGAGGUAAAAGCUCACCAAGGCUACGAUCUGUAGCUGGUCUGAGAGGACGAUCAGCCACACUGGGACUGAGACACGGCCCAGACUCCUACGGGAGGCAGCAGUGGGGAAUAUUGCACAAUGGGCGCAAGCCUGAUGCAGCAAUACCGCGUGUGUGAAGAAGGCCUUAGGGUUGUAAAGCACUUUCAAUAGAGAAGAAAAGCUUAGAGUUAAUAACUCUAAGCAUUGACGUAACCUAUAGAAGAAGCACCGGCUAAAUCCGUGCCAGCAGCCGCGGUAAUACGGAUGGUGCGAGCGUUAAUCGGAAUUACUGGGCGUAAAGCGCGCGUAGGCUGUUUUAUAAGUCGGAUGUGAAAUCCCCGGGCUCAACCUGGGAACUGCAUCCGAAACUAUUUAACUAGAGUAUGGGAGAGGUAAGUAGAAUUUCCGGUGUAGCGGUGAAAUGCGUAGAUAUCGGAAGGAACACCAGUGG
rnacentral:rRNA from 1 species